AAAGAGUCCAGAGUUCAAUAAAACAAAACACACUUUUCAGAGAUUUAGCAAUAAGCAACAAAAGAUAGAAAUUCAGUUUGUUCAGUUCAGAUUUUCCCCCCACGAGUGAAUCCUCUUCUCGAACAUAGAGCAUCUUUGCAUCUCUGGAUCUCGCUGCUGCAUGGCGCUGUUGUGUUUGUGUCAAACUCCGACACACAGAGCAGAGGACAGAAGCAGCCGCAUUUGGCGCUUGGCGGGUGUUAAUUUCAGACCCUGCAGGCAUCGUACGUCGGCACGGCAACAUUUUC